GACGAACGCUGGCGGCGUGCUUAACACAUGCAAGUCGAACGGAAAGGCCCUGCUUUUGUGGGGUGCUCGAGUGGCGAACGGGUGAGUAACACGUGAGUAACCUGCCCUUGACUGUGGGAUAACUUCAGGAAACUGGGGCUAAUACCGGAUAGGAGCUCCUGCUGCAUGGUGGGGGUUGGAAAGUUUCGGCGGUUGGGGAUGGACUCGCGGCUUAUCAGCUUGUUGGUGGGGUAGUGGCUUACCAAGGCUUUGACGGGUAGCCGGCCUGAGGGGGUGACCGGCCACAUUGGGACUGAGAUACGGCCCAGACUCCUACGGGAGGCAGCAGUGGGGAAUAUUGCACAAUGAGCGGAAGCCUGAUGCAGCAGCGCCGCGUGCGGGAGGACGGCCGUCGGGGUGUAAACCGCUUUCGCCUGUGACGAAGCGUGAGUGACGGUAAUGGGUAAAGAAGCACCGGCUAACUACGUG
rnacentral:rRNA from 1 species